GAAAUUCUCCGUCCUCCAGUCACGACAUGCCUCGGUUUCGUCUUUUGUGCAAGAGGUUCACCAGACCACGAGCGAGGUCGGCCAUGGCAGGCUGUGCUGGCGCGCUGGGUGCCAGUGCCUUCAACUUUGAGUGAGGAUGAACAAAACAUGGAGCAGCAGGAAAACUCCUCAUCUGCCGCUUCAGCUGUCGACGGACUGCCACCACGUCACGCCACCUGUGGGACACAUGUUCAUGUUCUUUUACUAAUAAAGUUUGAUCAAA